UACGUAGGGGGCAAGCGUUGUCCGGAAUCAUUGGGCGUAAAGCGCGUGUAGGCGGACUGGAAGGUCUGGUGUGAAAGCCCGGGGCUCAACCCCGGAGGGUCACUGGAAACCGACAGUCUUGAGUCCGGAAGAGGAGAGUGGAAUUCCUGGUGUAGCGGUGGAAGUGCGCAGAUAUCAGGGAGGGAACACCGGUGGCGGAAGGCGGGUCUCUGGGCCGUUACUGACGCUGAGGAGCGAAAGCGUGGGGAGCGAACAGG
rnacentral:rRNA from 1 species